CAGCAGCCGCGGUAAUACGGAGGGCGCAAGCGUUAAUCGGAAUUACUGGGCGUAAAGCGUGCGUAGGCGGUUCGUUAAGUCUGUUGUGAAAGCCCCGGGCUCAACCUGGGAAUGGCAAUGGAUACUGGCGAGCUAGAGUGUGUCAGAGGAUGGUGGAAUUCCCGGUGUAGCGGUGAAAUGCGUAGAGAUCGGGAGGAACAUCAGUGGCGAAGGCGGCCAUCUGGGACAACACUGAUGCUGAGGCACGAAAGCGUGGGGAGCAAACAGGAUUAGAUACCCGCGUAGUCCCUGUCUCUUAUAC
rnacentral:rRNA from 1 species